rnacentral:rRNA from 1 species
GACGAACGCUGGCGGCGUGCCUAAUACAUGCAAGUAGAACGCACAGUUUAUACCGUAGCUUGCUACACCAUAGACUGUGAGUUGCGGACGGGUGAGUAACGCGUAGGUAACCUGCCUGGUAGCGGGGGAUAACUAUUGGAAACGAUAGCUAAUACCGCAUAAUAUUAAUUAUUGCAUGAUAAUUAAUUGAAAGGUGCAAUUGCACCACUACCAGAUGGACCUGCGUUGUAUUAGCUAGUAGGUGAGGUAACGGCUCACCUAGGCGACGAUACAUAGCCGACCUGAGAGGGUGAUCGGCCACACUGGGACUGAGACACGGCCCAGACUCCUACGGGAGGCAGCAGUAGGGAAUCUUCGGCAAUGGACGAAAGUCUGACCGAGCAACGCCGCGUGAGUGAAGAAGGGUGUCGGAUCGUAAAGCUCUGUUGUAAGAGAAGAACGGGUGUGAGAGUGGAAAGUUCACACUGUGACGGUAUCUUACCAGAAAGGGACGGCUAACUACGUG